UACGGGGGGAGCAAGCGUUGUUCGGAUUUACUGGGCGUAAAGGGCGCGUAGGCGGCCACCGCAAGUCAAUUGUGAAAUCUCCGGGCUUAACUCGGAAAGGUCAACUGAUACUGCGGGGCUAGAGUGCGGAAGGGGCAACUGGAAUUCUCGGUGUAGCGGUGAAAUGCGUAGAUAUCGAGAGGAACACCUGCGGCGAAGGCGGCUCACUGGACCGGUACUGACGCUGAUGCGCGAAAGCGUGGGGAGCAAACGGG
rnacentral:rRNA from 1 species